rnacentral:tRNA from 1 species
UUAGCUUAUAUCUCAGUGGUAGAGAGCCUGAUUGAUAAUCGGGAGACAUAGGUUCGAAUCCUAUUAGGCUAAU